rnacentral:rRNA from 1 species
GACGAACGCUGGCGGCGUGCCUAAUACAUGCAAGUUGAGCGCUGAGGGUUGGUACUUGUACCAACUGGAUGAGCAGCGGACGGGUGAGUAACGCGUGGGUAAUCUGCCUUUGAGCGGGGGACAACAUCUGGAAACGAAUGCUAAUACCGCAUAAUAACUUUAACCACAUGUUUCAAGAUUGAAAGAUGCAAUUGCAUCACUCAAUGAUGAUAUCGCGUUGUCUUUGCUAGUUGGUGAGGUUAAGGCCCACCCAGGCGAAGAUACAGAACCGGCCGGAGAGGGUGGUCCGGCAACAUGGGACUGGGGCACGGCUCAAACUCCUACGGGAGGCAGCAGGUGGGGAACUUCGGCAAAGGACGGAAGGCUGACCGAGGAACGCCGGGGUAGGGAAGAAGGUUUUCCGGUCGUAAAACUCCGGUUGUAGGGAAGAAAGAUGGGUAGAGUUGAAAACUCACGAAUUGACGGUAACUACUCAGAAAGGGACGGCUAACUACGUG